rnacentral:tRNA from 1 species
GUGGAUGUGGCUCAAGCGGUAGUGCGCUCGCCUGGCCUGCGUGCAGCCUGGGUUCGAUCCUUAGCACCACA